rnacentral:miRNA from 1 species
UUUGUAGGAUGUUGAGGUGUGUGUGUGUGUGUGUGUGUGUGCGUGUGUGUGUGUAUACACACACACACACACACGCACACACACACACACACACAUGCACACUGACA